rnacentral:lncRNA from 1 species
CAAUAAAACAGCCCACAAUCUCAGAUGUCAGGCUCUCAGUUCAUCCAUGCUGUUCUAGUUUCAGGUUUGGGACACCCAUUGAAGGAGCUGGAAAUUUAUUCUGGAUGUCGGACAACAAGAGGUAUUAAAUAGCCAGAUGAGAAGGAGGGAGGCUAGGCGACAAUGAGAAGGGACAGUGUAUGAGUAGGAAUAUCAGAGUAUUCCAAUGAAUACACAAAUGGGGGAAGAAAUUUACAGUGUUCAUUUAUUCAUCCCAUCUCCAGAGUGGACAUUAAUCCAGUGAAUAUGAUUGGUAUUUACUGCUGGUGCUUUCAGGCCUUAAAAAAUACAUAAUUGAUUACAUUUUUCCUCAUUUGCUGGUGAUAAUGGCUUUGAAGUACUCUCCAUUCCAUUGAGAAUCCAGGGUUCAUGAAGCAUUGCUGCCUCCACACCCUCAACCCCUGUCAUACAAGCACCACAUAACCCAAAUUUCAGGACUAGGAGGUAUAAUAAUAGUUAAUAUAUUAGAGAAAUGCUCUUAUUUGGGACAUUGGUCAAAGCUUUGAAGUUUGCAAUUUGUUGGGUCUAUUGGAGCUGUCGAAGACCAAAGACUUCUCUUUGUAUAUUGUUGGCUAUCUCUUUAAUGCAUCACAAGACAAGAGAAAACCCAUCCUUGAAAAUAGAGGAUUUGCAUAUAAUUGGCAUCUGCUAAUUUAUAUGUUUAGAGGCAAAUGUAGUAUAAUUACUAUAAUUUAAGUAGAAACACAGUCUCACCAUAGUAGGGAAGGCUGCAACCAGGUGACCUGUGUCUCUGGCCAGGUGUUGACUGUUGACUAGCCACUACAAGGACCCUGUUCUUCCUUCUUGUGGUUCUUUAUAUUUAAACUGGUCUUGGAAUGGACAGCCCUUCAAACAGAGGGCUAUCCUAGUAAAGCUGGACACAUAGUAGCCUUACUUUCUUUACAGGUGGGGAACAUUUUCAGCCUAAGAGCCACAUUCCCUUCUGGCCAACCUUCUGGGGGCCACCUGCCGGUGAUGGGUGAGGUAUGAGGAAAAGGUCAGCAGAGCAAAAAAAUGUUUAUCUUUGUACAGCAGACUCAUUUAUACUCACACUCACAUACCCUUCUUUAGUCUCCAUCCAAAAAAUAAAAAAGACAUUAUCAGAGUUCAAGGAUACAGACUAGCCGGGCAAAAAACAGCUGAGGAAGGUGCAAAGCAGGGCUGAUGAGGGGUGUGGCUUAGAAGGGCAUGUCACCAAGCAGAGUGUUUCAAGGGCCACAUUUGACCCCUGUGCUUGAGGUUCCCCAACUAUGCUUUGCAUAUCAACAGUGUUUAUAUUCCAGCCCAUAUUUUGUGGUUUCGCAUCAUUACAGGAGGGGCCUGUUCCUGUCUUCUCAACAGUGGUACUGCUGACAGUAGGGUAAAUUUCUGUAGGGUAAAUUUCUAGUUCUCCACUCAUCAGACUGAGCAGAAGGUUCCCCUAAGCACAGCAGAGCUGACUCACCAUAUUUUAAAGUAGGUGAAGUAAUACACAUUACCAUCUAAAGAGCUCCCCACCCUAAGACCAUGAAGUCCAGAGUCUAAAAUUACCUAACGGCACCACUGCUUCUCUCCAGCCACAGAAAGCCCUUCCCAAGCUUUGCUUCUGGUUGAACAUUUUGUUUCUUGACCCAAGAACAUUCUCAGGAAGCCACAGUUCUGGAAAGUCCUGCCCUUAUUUUCCCUUCCUUGUUUAGCCUCCCACCACGUUGGUAUAUACGCAGAGGACUUUGUUCUAUUGCAUUCAAUUGAAAGGUUAUAAUUUGGACUAAAGAAAAAUGGCAAUGUGAGCUAAACAAAUUCAAACAAUUUCACUAAUCAGGGUUGCUUAUCUAACUUUUCAAAGGAGUUUUUUCUCCCAAUGUUCCAUCCCACUAUGUGCAAUUAGGCUAAAAUAGUAGAAAUGAACUGUUUAGCUUUCCCAUAUCAUAUUGUGUAGUCUAAGUUGAUGGUAAAACAGUAAUCACAAAAAAACUUCAGAUUUGGUUACCAUUACAGCCAAAGUAAAGUUAAUACUAAUUGCGUGGAUAAGAACAUAUGAAGGCCCAUCUAGUCCAUCAUUCUCUUCUCACAGUGGCCAGCCAGAUGCCUGUGGGAAAACCUCAAGCAGGACAUGAAUUCAAUAGCCGCCUUCUCACUUGUGAUUCCCGGCAACUGGUAUUCAGAAGCAUAUUGUCUCUGAAUGUGUGUUGUUAUGGACAGAUAGAUAUGGAUGGAGUAGGAAGAAAUUGGAUAGUUUUUUCCUCAUCUUAAUUAUUGCCCAAUGGCUGUAAUAAGAUAGUAAGAAGAGCCCUGCUGGAUGAGGCCAAAGACCCACUCUGUUCUCACAGUGGUCAGCCAGAUGCUUAUGGGAAGUUCACAAGCAGAACCUGAGCGCAACAGCACUCUCCCCAUCUACAGUCCCUAACAACUGGGAUUCAGAGGGAUACUGCCUCCGUCAGCAAAGCUCAAACAUAGCUAUCAUGACUAGAAACCUCUAAUACCCUCCAUGAAUUUGUCUCAUCUUCUUUUAAAGCUAGCCAAAUUGGUGGCCACUUUAACUUCCGGGGCAGGGGGGGGAUCCACAACUACGCGCUGCAUGAAGAAGUACUUUUUAAUGAAAUGUGUCCUGAAUCUUCCAGCAUACAGCUUCAUCGGCUGUUCCUGAGUUCUAGUAUUUUGUUUGAGAGACGGAAAAAUACCUUCUCAAUCCACACCAUGAAUAAUUUUGUACACCUCUAUCGUGUCCCCUCCUUACCUUUUCUAUAUAAAGGAGUUCUUCAUAAAGGAGUUGCUCUAUCCAUUUAAUCAUUUUGUUGCCCUUUGCUGGACCUUUUCCAGCUCUACAAUAUCCUUCUUCAGGUGAGGUGACUAGUAGUGUGGCAGCUGAUCGACGAGCCUGUAGGAUUUUGAGAUGCAUUUUUUUUAAAAAAAAAAAAAAAAGAGGGGCAGGGGUGGACAUAGGAGUCACAGACCAGGUACUCCAUCCCUUGACAUGAGUGAAUUCUCGUCACAUUAGAGAAUUUCCAUCAUUUUUUUCCCUGCAUGCAUACUGCUUCUUGCUUACAACAUGUCCUUUUGAAGGCUAACAUUUUCAUUAGAAGGAUGUUUCAAGGAGGGAAAUGUAUAUUACGUUUCUUACAUGGAAACUGUGGAGUUCCUCAUAAGCCCAAAGAAAAACAAGUCAUAGUCAGGGAGAACCACAUCCCAUAAAAGAAAUGAGACAACCACAAUGAAAUGAAAUGAAGCCCCACAAAGGAGGUGAGUGGUUUGGCUAGAAGACAAUGAAAAGGGCACAUCUGGUGAGCUGAUGACUCUCCAUGAAAGGAACAUAGAAUGAUGCUUGUAUUGCAUGGUAAAAUUAUCUGGCUGGCAAGUGGCCUCUAAGGCAAGACCGCUGGGUUAUUGGACAGUUUGUUCCAUUAUCUGUGGCUAUGUGCUGUGAUUACUUGCCACCUCUUGUGAGGUUGGUCAUCCAAAAUGUAAUGCUUCAGGGGUUCACACUGAUAAGUCAAUAGGAAUAUUUCAUGAAUAUCACUGCCAGCUGGGAAGCAGAGUAAUAUUUGGGGAAAGGAAUCUGAUUAUAAAUGGGUCAGAAGACUCUAGGAAAUAGCAUCAUGGGCUGGAAGGUGCCUGCUGGUCAUAAGUUGUGAGGAGGAGAUACAUUCCCUGGAUUCAGAGAAUUCAUAAACCACCCUAUAAAUUUAGCAUCAGUUACUAAAUUCUUAUCAGUUUUGUUCAGGCAUGAUCACACUGCCAACUCUCAUCAUCUUUAAGGGGAAUUUAAGGAACGCAGGAAGCUGUCUUAUAUUGAAUCAGAACAUUGGUCUAUCUAGUUCAGCUUUAUGUACACUGACUAGCAGUGACUGUUCAAAGUCUGACAUAGGAAAUGUGCAGCCUUACCUGGAAAUGCUAGGGAUUGAACCAAGGAUCUUCUGCAUUUAAGGCAGAUGCUUUCCCACUAGGCCAUUCAGUAACCUCUAGGGCCAGAUGAUCCUAAGUGCUCUUCUACCUUAGCAGAAGGUAUUGAUCACUGUGACUCCAAAGCUCAACAAGAAGUGACCUGACCAUGGCAAAGGACAGGUUGCAAAAUCCUGUGCUUUCAGAAAACUAUCAUGUCUAGAUAGAGAAGACCAAUUCUAGAGUGUGCUCUGCUAUAUGAGUUGGGCCAAUGAUAUGUUGGGAGAAUCCUAUGGGCAUCAUAGCCUCCACAAAGCUGUUGUGGAGUUGUUGUGGAUUGAGUGGUCCUGACAUGGAUAUGAAGAUCUGCCAGGGCAAUAAAAUUAAGUUUGGCUCUUAAAAACAUAAUCACAAAAAACCCCAUCUAGCUGAGCAUCCUGUUCUCACAGUGGUCAACCAACCUAUAGAAAGCCAAUAAGCAAGAUCUGAGUGCAACAAUUUUCUCCCCGCUUGGGGUUCCCAGCAGCUGGUAUGCAGAGACAUACUGCCUCCAAUUCUGAACAUGCUUGUGUGUGGUAUCUUAUCAAUGUGCAAACACUGGAUAAAGACCCAUUAUGUGAUCAUGCAUGGAAUCACAUCACGUGAAUUAACCCUAAUAUGCAGAGUUCCCCAGACUGCCCUCUCCAUGAUUAUUUGUGCAUUUAGCAUUCAAAGCAAUCAUUCUAAGAGCACAACUGCACCUCCAAGGAGCAUCUCAUCUCAAGAUACGAACCAGCAAGUUGUGUUUUUAGCAGCUGACACUGCACACGUGUGGAGCGGACAGUGACUGGUAUUUUUAAAAACAAAUUGUCAUGUUGCUUUUGCCCAAGCAUCACAGGUAUCAUUAUUGAAACCCACCAGUGUUUAGUGGAAGUGCCACUGCUACACACAAAACCACGCCCAGAGUCUCAGAUUUCUUAAAUAUAGUUGUGCUCAAAGAGUUCCUCUCACCACUUUGUUGGAGUUGGCUUCUUCUCUCCAUUCCUAAAGUACUUUUAAAACACACACAAACACACACCAAAAUUACAUAUCUAUCAAUGUGGCAAGUUAUUUUUAAAGUUUCCAAGGAUCUACUUCCUCAAGUAGAUCACUUUUUCUUCUUGAGAGAUAUUAACAUCACACUGAGCUCUGUCUCCAACUCUGAACCCUGGAAGUGCAGGAUUAAAAAAGCUCAAAGGGCUUCAGUUCCUGCCAUCCACAAAGGGGGUGGCAGCAAAGUAACCAGACUGCCGGGCUCCCCCAAUACUAGCUAGCCAACACAAUUUUUUUUUAAAAAAAGCUUGGAUAUGGGCAAGUAGUAGGUCACAAGAAGGGAUGUGAAUGUCUCCAUCUGAAACCCUAGAGAGCCACUGCUGGUCAGUGCUGAAAAUGCUUUGUGAGAUGGAAUAAUGAUUUCACUCAGUUCAGGGCAGCUAAAAGGGGAAAGCUAGAAUUAAUUGAUAACUUUCUGUUUUCUUGCAUGUUUUUAAUUGAAACCUAUGUUGUUUGCUUUGCAUAUAAACUUUUUUAAAAAACAGUGAUAUGCAUUAAUGAGAUAUAGUUUCCUGCAAGCAACCUUCCAGAAUUAGACUUACCGUAUUUUUUGCUCUAUAAGACUCACUUUUUCCGUCCUAAAAAGUAAGGGGAAAUGUGUGUGCGUCUUAUGGAGCGAAUGCAGGCUGCGCAGAAGCCAGAACAGCAAGAGGGAUUGCUGCUUUCACUGCACAGCGAUCCCUCUUGCUGUUCUGGCUUCUGAGAUUCAGAAUAUUUUUUUUCUUGUUUUCCUCCUCCAAAAAUUAGGUGUGUCUUGUGGUCUGGUGUGUCUUAUAGAGUGAAAAAUAUGGUAUCUUUUUUUAAAAAAGUCUCCAUGAAAAAUUCAUCAGCCUUUUAGUGCAAAUUUCUCAUAAUGUACGCAUGCUUCUAUGCAAUUUUCAUUUUAAAAACAUUUUUGUAAAGCAGUUUCCCCUAAUAAUUGUGCUUUUUAAAAUGCUAUUUUCACCAUAGAAUCAUAGAAUCUUAGAGGUGGAAGGGACCCAAUGGUCUUCUAGUCUAACCCCUUGCAAUGCAGGAAUCUCAGCUAAAGCAUCCAUGACAGAUGGCCAUCCAACCUCUGCUUAAAAACUUCCAAGGAAGAAGAGUCCACAACCUCCUGAGGGAGACUGUUCCACUGUGGAGCAGCUCUUAUUGUCAGAAAGUUUUCCCGUACGUCUAGUCAGAAUCUUCUCUUUUGCAGCUUGAAACCAUUGGUUCAAGUCCUACCUUCCAUAGCAAUAUGUGCUUUUUUAUGCACACUUAACACAAUGUAUGUAUUUUUGAACACAUUACUGCAUUCCUAAAUUUGGAACAGUGCACAUUUUGAGGAAUGGCCACGUUUUGGUUAGCAUACAGUUUCAUAACUUGUGAAUUAGGUAGAUUUGCCUUUAGAUGUGAAUUGAAUUGAAGUUUCCCUCCAUCUCUACUCACAAACACCCUUUGGCCACAACAAAAGUAAGAUAAGCACCUCAGAAACUCUCAAACUUCCCCAUGAGAAUUUCUCCAAAAUGUUCUCUCUACUUUAAUAAGGAAAUAAAAUACAUUUGAAAAUUAUCAAAGGAGAGAGAACAGUGAAGGGGGGGGGGAUUUUCUGCAGAACAGUAGAUUUCAUGCUCUGUCUAUGGCUGAUAAUAUAAUGUGCUUUCCUCCCAAAACUGUCUGCUUAAGACAGCUUCCCCUGAUUUUGAUAUGGUAUAAGUUCUCUUUUCCUGAGCUGAAGUGAGAGAACAGCUAAGGAAGUUUGUUAUUCUUGGGGGCUGGCUUUAUACAUGUCUCUUCUUGAUUUUUGUCAUGACAUUUUCUGAACCAAUUGUUGAUUGGAACCAGGCCAGUUUUUUCCUUACAAAAAAAUCUUUAAAAAAACCUCCCUUCUCUGAAAUUAAUGCUUUUCAUGAUAACUUACAUACAAACCUAGCUGAUAAUAGCUAUUUCAGUUGUUGCUCAGUGCUUUAAACAAGCUUUAACCAUUGAUAAAUUUUGCAUUUCUUUGUACAUCAAAAUGAUAAGGGAAGAAACUUUGACACAGUCUUUUGAUUCUUCAUUUAGCCCCCAGUUUUUCCCCUCAUCAGAACGUUCUUCUUCAGAUAGCAUUGAUCACCAAGCAAUCCUUCAAUAAUUCAUUCUGACAGAAAAACUCCACUGAUGAAAAUGUUGGGCUCUGGAACGAUUCUGCCACUGGCUUUUGAACCACAGUCUACAUAAGAGAGGUUACAACUUAGCUGUCUGUGGACAAACGCCAGCUCCCUUGGCCUGAAGUGAGAUGAGUGUUGCACCCCACAGUUGCCUUUGACUGGACUUAACUGUCCAGGGGUCCUUUACCUUUUUAAAACUUAGAAGUCAUCUGUAAUGAAGAAGUAAGGGAAAAGGGAAACUGAGAAUGCCUGUUAUGAUUAUUUUGGGGAAAACAAAUUCCCCUUGGGUCCCCUGAGGGUUAUCUAGUCCAACCCACUGCAAUGCAGGAGUUGCAGAUUUAGGCAAGAGAGGCAGAUUUAGGCAAUUGUGACUGGUUGCAUUGGGCAUGGAGCCUUGGGAGUGCUGCAAGUACAGGGCCAUCUUUACAAGGAACCAUUAGUGAGCCUUCUUGGGGUUCGGUCAGUCAACCAGCUACAAAUCCACCUAACUGUUACCUCAUCCAGCCCACAUUUUACCAGCUUCUUCACAAGAAUAUCAUGGGAGACUUUGUCAACAGAAUAACUUAAUUUUUCUUGAUCUUCCAGGAGACUUUCAAGCCAAGAACAGUGGUUUUCAUAAGCACUGGACCACAUUUUUGUGACAUUCAAAAUUGAAAGUUCUCUCCCCAGCCUCUGGCUUAAAGGCAGGAAACAAAUUUGCCCACUGGCAAUUUCUGCUCCCAUUUCUAUUUUUGUUUGAAUUCUCUGACAUCCCUAAUUAUGAUUUUCUGGGUGUUUUAAUUGUUAUUUUCUAGUGAUUUCUAAAUUUAAAGCAGUAAAUCCUAAAUUUAAAGCAGUCUAAAUUUAAAGCAGUUUUUGAAAUAAAUUAAAUGUGUAAUUGCAUGGUGUCAUAGUGUCUGUGACCUGAGGGGUGUUUGCCUUCUAGACAGCAACUGUGUUCAGGUUUGACAUCCCAUAGCUGCCAACGUGUAAAGAAGCUAAGAACCUUUAGCCCCAAAAUAAUCUAGGGAAAACCAGCCCUUCCUGAUAGAAUCUGUAGCCCCACAAAUCCUGGACCAAGCGAAACCUAGGUUGUUUCUGGAUGUCCUUGGAAUUCAAAAACACGAACGAAACAGUCCACUCACAGUCUUUUGAGCACUAAACCCACAAGUUAGUCAGUAGCAUAUGACCAAGUAGCCACGUACCAGAUUCAGAGCUAAUGCUUACUCCAAGAAGCUACACAAAGGAUAAAUACAAUACUUUUAAAAAUAGGUUAUGAAUGACAGAAUAAGAACCAUUUACAAAUAAGGUAUAUUUAAGAAAGGCUAACGGUGUAAAGACACUUUUCCGGGUUUGAAAACAGACCGUAAUAGCUUGUCUCACUCUAAUACCAAACAUUAGAGUCACAGAUCCCACUGCAUCCAGGCACAUGUGGUUUGUUGCAUCACACAGUCAUUCAUUCUGAUGGGGGGUCAUUAGAUCAAAAACCCUUUUUAUUCAAAAAGGCCUGGAUACAGAAGGAUAGGUUUUCCUUCGGCCAGUAAGGGCUUAGGGGCACAAAAAUAGACAUAAACAAUAAAUAAAACAUCAUAAACCAAACUGAACCACAUUUCCACAUAAAUGAUAGAAAGAUUUAAACAAAAGAUACAAACUCCUAAGCAACUCCCCCAACCCAAGAGUCUGUUCAGAAGCCUCAGCUUUUGUAGCUGGAGUCAGUCAGGGCCCCACCCUCCCAGGCCAGGUGGCAAAAAGCUUGCAAGAACUCACAGCCAAGAUGGUCCACAGUGAAGGUUUUUGAAGACAAUUUCUAGGAGCAAAUUCCUAGGAGCUAACUAAUUUUAAACUCUGCUUACAUUCACAGCUGAAAACAUGCCACUUGCAUUCCCCAAUGCAUUCAAUCUCACAGUUGUUAUUUAUUUGUAUUGCUACAGGUAUGAACUGAUGGUGCUCCCAUUCCAUGGUUUUGCUGUCCUCUAGUGCAUGACUGAAGAACAAAAUAAAUGUAAGUUUUUGAGUGCUUAUUCUACACCAAGCAGAAAAACGUAAGUGUUCCUACUCCGCCACCAAGUGGCCAUGUUGCAUAAAAAUAGCAAGCAUCUUUAAGGAGCAAUAUGUGUUGGAAUAUAAACUGCACUGAGGAUUUAGCAAUGCCGAAAAAACAUGAUGCUUCUUUUAUUUAUUUAUUUUAAGCAUUUCUUUCCUUGUUGGUUAAUCAUGCUCUUAACCCCAAAAAGGUUCCUGCAGUGGUUUUGUUGUUUAGUUGUUUAGUCGUGUCAGACUCUUCAUGACCCCAUGGACCAGAGCACACCACACACUCCUGUCUUCCACAGCCUCCCGCAGUUUGGUCAAACUCAUGUUAUUAGCUUCAAGAACCAUUCACAGAUCAAUAAAAACAAGGCAGUUCCUGUAUUGAGACUUACAACCCAAUCUAUAUGAGCCUAAAGGAAAAUGGAUUGGGAGGGAGAAGGAAAGGGGCAAAACCAGACACUAGCUUUUAAUUACAAGUUCUCCUAGUUAUUUAUUUAACAGGAUUUAUAUGCUGUUUAGUCGCCUAAAAGUGGCUUAUAUAAAUCAUACCAAUAACAUCAAACGUUAAAAAGAAGUUGACCUAAACUUCAUACAAAUAUAAACCCAACAGUUUAAACACAAAUGUGCAUAAUAAAGUAAAAUCACAUGUUAAAAUGGCUUGCCGGGGUAGGCUUACCUAUCCCAAAAAAGUUUUAAGCAGGCACCAAAAGCAGGGCAGUGAACAUACAAGCCUAAUCAAUGGGCAAGGAAUUCCAAACAGUAAGUGUUGCCACAAUGGAGGAUUGAUUCCAUGCAACUGAAGAACGAACAUUAUGUGGAACUUGUAAAAGUGUCAGUUCCACAGACUGGAGUGAUCAAGUGGGCACAUAUCGGGGAAGGUGAUCCAUAGACUAUAUACCAACAGUAAGAUCUUGAUUUUGGCCCUGGGUAGCAAAUAAGCAGCCAGCACAAAUCUCUGAGAGGCAGUUUAAUAUGCUAACAGGGUAUCACUCCUGUCAGCAUCACUCACUGAGCAGCCCUUUUUAGGAUCCACUCUGCUCACCCUGAAAAGGCAGAGGAGCUAGAAAAGGUGCCCUAAACAUAGGCUGCCUCCCUUUUUCCUUGACUGGAUUACCACACCCAGUGGGGUCACCACCUAGCGAUCGUAAAAGACAAUUGAACUUUGGAACAUGGACUUUGUCGGAUAAUGCAGAUAACAAGCAUCCUGAACGCAGAACUGCCAUCAUAGCAAGAGAGCUGCAACAUUUUAACAUCGAUAUUGCAGCGCUUCAAGAGACUCGAAGAGCAGGUGAGGGACAACUGAAGGAAGAAAAAGGAGGCUACACAUUCUUUUGGAAAGGUCUAUCUGAAUAAGAACAUCAAAUACACGGGGUGGGCUUCGCUAUCAAAAACGAUCUUGUGAAGCUCCUGUCAGAAGUCCCUACCAACAUUAAUGAGCAACUCUCAACCUUUUGAAUAAAACUCACCAAAACCCAACAGGCUACUAUUAUAAGUGCUUAUGCACCAACAUUGGAUGCCAAUGAAGACAUUAAAGAAAAAUUUUACUCUCAGCUGGAUACCGUCCUAUCAGAGACGCCUAAGGAAGAUAAAAUUAUCCUCCUGGGUGAUCUUAAUGCAAGAAUUGGGUGAGAUUUCGAUCUGUGGUCUGGGACUAUUGGGAAAGAAGGAAUUGGCAAGAGCAACCAGAACGGAAUCUUACUUUUGACAAUAUGUGCAGCGCAUAACCUUGUUAUUACCAACACACUCUUUUGACAGAAAAAUAAAUUUAAAACUUCAUGGAGGCAUCCUCAGUCAAACCACUGGCAUCUCUUAGACUAUGUGAUUGUCCAUGCUAAAGAUCGCCAUGAUGUGCUCCUUACCAGAGCUAUGACAAGUGCCGAUGACUGCUGGACAUAUCACCAACCAAUACACUCCACGAUGGCUUUCAAGAUUAUACCUCAACACAGGCUUCAAGGAAGGAAACCAAGGAGCAAAAUGAACACUCAAGCCCUUCAAGAUCUCGUUAAGUGGGAUUGCUUCCAAAUGACUCUUAAGGACUAUCUGCUUUCAGAAUUUCCUGAUAACAUUGAUGAACACUGGACCAAGCUAAAAACAUCCAUUAUUGCAGCCGGUGAACAAACUAUUGGAUACGAAACCAAGAAACACCAGGACCGGUUUGAUGAGAAUCACAGUGAGAUUGAACGCAUGAUUGACAAGAAAAGGAAGGCUUUUCAGAUCUGGCAAAGACAUAGAAACUGUGCCACUAAGAAAAAAACCUAUGCCAACCAAGGCUGAGGUUCAAAGAAGAACCAGAGAACUAAAAAACACCUAGUGGAUAAAAAAGCUUAAGAAAUUCAGCACUUAGCUGACACUCACGGUGCACAGAGUUUCUUUAAAGCCACGAAGACCAUCUACAAGCCAAUAAAUCAUGGCAUAUGACCCCUAUGCUCAGCAGAUGGUACCACACUGCUAAAAGAUAAAGAAGCUAUGGCACUGCCUAGAAAGAACAUUACCAACAUCUCCUUAACCGCAACUCCCCCGUAGCUGCUGAGGUCCUCUCACAAAUUCUGCAAAAACAAGUUACAGAUGAGCUUGUGGUAUCUACAAAUCUGGAAGAGUUGUGUACAGCUAUUAACCAAAUGAAAAACAACAAAGCCAGCAGACCUGAUGGGAUACCUGCCAAAGUCUUCAAAGUGGGUGGAACUGAACUUACACAACAACUUCACAAGGUCAUCGAAAAAAUCCGGGAGAGAGAAGAGAUCUCAGCAGACUUUAGGCGUGCCAAAAUUAUCAAUCUCUUUUUAAAAAAGGUAACAGAACUGACUGCCGAAACUAUCAAGGCAUCUCUCUAUUAGCUGCGGCCAGCAAAAUUUUUGUAAGGAUCUUAGCAACCUUCUCUUAACAAUAUCUGAGGUGACCCUUCCUGAAUCCCAAAAUGGUUUCCGGCCUUUUAGGGGGACAGUGGACAUGAUUUUUACCCCUCGACAGCUUCAAGAAAAAUGCAGAGAGCAAAACCAAUCCUUGUAUAUAGCAUUUAUUGACUUAAGGCUUUCAACACUGUAAAUCGUAAUGCCCUGUGGACUGUCCUUCUGAAAGUUGACUGCCCAGAUAAAUUUGUGAACCUCAUUCGGCUCCUCCAUGAUAAUAUGACAGCAACAAUCGCAGAUAACAAUGGCUUUCAAAGUGAACCAUUCACAGUGGGAUCAAGUGUUAAACAGGGUUGUGUCAUUGCCCCAAUAUUCAUUAUUUUCAUUGCCAUGAUCCUACACUUUGUUGAAGGGAAACUCCCCACCGAAGUAGAAAUCAUAUAUCGAACAGAUGGAAAGCUCUUCAAUCUGAGCAGGCUGAAAGCAAAGAGUAAAGUUACUGUAACUUCCGUCAUAGAGCUUCAGUAUACUGAUGACAAUGUAGUGUGUGCAUGCUCAGAGGUUGACCUCCAAACCAUCCUAAAUAUCUUUGCAGAAGCUUACAAAAAACUUGGCCCAUCACUCGACAUCCAAAAAACUGAAGUGCUGCACCAACAAGUACAAAAUAAGCCUUCUGCAGCUCCACACAUCCAACUCAAUGGUGCAAUGUUGGAAAAUGUCUAUCACUUCUCCUACCUAGGCAAUUAUCUUUCCACAAGGGCCAACAUUGAUGCUGAAAUCCAGCAUCGCCUGAGCUUUACGAGUGCGGUUUUCUCCCAGUUGAAGUGCAGAGUGUUUGAGGACAUUUGCAGGGAAACCAAAAUGCUUGUUUACAAAGCUAUUGUACUAGCAACUUUACUGUAUGCUUGUGAAACAUGGACCACUUAUAAACACCAUCUCCAACUCCUUGAAAGAUUCCAUCAAUGGUGUCUCCGAAAAAUUUUACACAUCACUUGGGAAACCAGCUGAACUAAUACCAGUGUACUGGAAGAAGCAAAGAUCACCAGUGUUGAAGCAAUGAUUCUUCAACAUCAACUUCAUUGGAUUGUUUAUGUUGUGCAGAUGCCUGAUUAUUGUCUUCCAAAGCAACUACUCUAUUCUGAACUUAAAAAUGGAAAGCGUAAUGCUGGUGGUCAACAAAAGAGGUUUAAAGACUGUCUCGAGGCAAAUCUAAAAAAAUGUAGUAUAAACACCAAUAAUUUGGAAACACUUGUCUUCGAGCACACCAAUUGGAGAACAGCCUUUACCAACGGUGACAUGGGCUUUGAAGACACUUCAACUCAGGACGCAAGGGAGAAGCGUGCUAAGAGGAAGGCACACUUGGCAAAUCCACACUGUGACCAACUCCCACCUGGAAACCAAUGUCCCCACUGUAGAAGGACGUGUGGUUCCAGAAUUGGUCUCCACAUUAACUUACGGACUCAUUGUUAAAACUGUGCUCAUGGAAGACAAUCUUACUCGGCUACGAGUGAUCGCCAGAGAAGAAGAAGACUCCUGUCAGCAAUCACACAGCAGCAUUCUGCACCAGCUGUGAUUUCUGAACCAAGUACAAGGCAAGCCCCACACUAAGUGCAUUGCAGCAAUCUAAUCCAAUCUUCUAAUGACCACAUGAAGUUUGGAACAACUUUUCAAAGACAUCCUGACAGAGAAUGAAUUGCCAUGACCUAGCUUGGACGGGAUCAAGGCAUAAGUAAACAUGGACAGAUUCUCCUCCUACUGGAAAGGAGGCAGUUGAUGCAUGGCCAAAGCUGAGGAAAUGCACUUUUAACUAUAGCCACCAUCCUGCUCAAAAGCAGCAUCUGAGCACAACAGCACUUUCUUCUCCUGCAGUUUCUUUUUUUUUUUUAAUGAUAUUUAUUGGAAAUUUUUUUUUUGAAUUACAAAAGAAAGCAAAGUAGAAAAAGAACAAAGAAAGAACAAAGAAAAACACAAACCACAUCCAACAAUACAAAAAAAAAAAACAAAUUAAAAAACAAAAACAAAAAUACACCACAAACUUUUUAAAACAAAUCCAUUAUUCUCAAACCCUCAACUGUCAUUACCUUCUUUCUUUGACCUCCUCCUCCUCCCUAUUUUUGUAUCCUAGUUGUUAAUUGUUGCAGCAAAUCCUUUCCAUAUUUCAUAAAAUUCUGUCAUUACAUUACCUUAAACUAUUUUAAUCUUAUCUUACUAUAAAAAACCUUGAAACUUAAAACUUAAAUCUUAUUUUUACCAACUUCUCAUAACCAUAAUAUUCUUACAUAAUUCUUUAAACAUUUUUACUAAAGCCAAGUAAUUUCAUUCCAACAUUUUUCUAACAUUCAUCAAUUUUAUAAAACAAUCCUAGUAGUAGAAAAAGAAAUAAAAACAAUCCAAUCUUCAUCCAGCGUCCCUUCCUCCUGGUCCUGGGUUUUGUCAGUCCUUAUUUUCCCAUUGAUCUAGCGCAUUAACCUGGUAACCUUAUAUCCGAGGCCCUUAAGUCUCUUCCAUGUCCCUUCCGCAGCUCUUCUUCAUAUUUGUAACUGUAUUUUCCAUUGUCUCCUGCUCGUUUCACUCGUGGGAACUCCAGCUUAACAAUGUUUUUGACCCUUUUCAACAGAUCAGCCCCUUUUCCAUAGUCCAAACUAAACUCCAUGUGGUAUUUAAAAACGUGUUUCAGAAUCCCUCCAAAAUUAAGAGCCCCCACAAUCCCAGACAUCUCACGGCCCAUUGCCAGACUUGGAAAGUCCAGACAUCCCUGCAUAGGGGGGUCUAUCCAGCCCCCCAUUUCCAAACCAAACCAAACUUUUUCUUUCCAAAUCUGGCUUUUUCCAAGUUCAUUUGUCAAAUCCGAAAGCUCAUGUUCCUGUUGGGCCUGUUCUGUCAAGGCACACUCCUGAUUUAAUUCCUGGGUGGGCUCCACAUAUUUUCCCACUGCCUGUUCAAAAUUUCCCACUGCCUGUUCAAAAUUUCUAAUCGAAUCAGCCAUCAAAUUCGUCUUCUCAUGUAGCUGUUCCAAUAGGGCAUUUGUUUUAUAGAAAGCACACAACAGAGCUUCUGAAUACAUUGUCCUGCAAGGUCAGAUGUCUAUUCCCACGAUUGUAAUCUGUAACAGCUGCCAGCUCCCCGGAGUUGGUUACAGUUUCACAGUCUCCCUCUAGGGGGAAAACUUCUAUUUGUUCUUUCUUUUAAAGACAAGUCUAGCGACAAAGUUUCCUUUUUCAGAUAUUUUGUCAAUAUUUGUUCCUUUAAGAAGCGAAGGGGAACAAUGGAGUCAAAGUUUCUCUUCUUAUAGCUAUCUGUCAAAAACGUUGUCUCUGGUCAAUGAGCUUCAAAAAAAACGUCAGUCCUAACACCCCGCUCCAGGAUCAGGACGGUGGAAAGUUACUUUACUUUACCCUCACUUCUGCAGGUUUAAACAGUCCGAAAAAAUCCCCCCCUCUUCUCCUGCUUCCAAAGGGGGUUCAACAAUUUUAAAUGAUGAAAGUUAAUCUUUUACAGGCGAUUUUCUGAGCUCUAGUUUGCCAUGUCUUUGCUUUAAUCUAUCUACAAAGAAACGGAAGGCUGACUUCCUGUUUAGACCUUCCCGUUUCAACGCCAAAUUAAGGUAAACUUUUAAGUCCAAUUUUCCUUUCUGCUCACAGGUCCUUAUUUAGAGUCCAAUUGUCCGAGUUUAGGUACUCACGGGUGAUUAUUUUAGAAGCCAGAUUGUCCCAGGAAAAAGGCAGCGCUCUCUGGCAACGGCUGUGCGGCUUCGCUCCACAGAAGAAGCAGUUGACUCUCAGCACCGUGCCACUUCCCCCUCUUCGCUCCGGAGCCCAUUAAUGGGUUCUUUUGCGGGUUGGGGGGGGCGCUAAGAGUGCCCGCCGAGUCCCAUGGUCACAGGCUUCAUCCGCCUGUGAUUUUUGAAUGGGUCCCCGCUUCGCCGUAGCGGAAAAGACCCGAUUCCCGUGGAACUGGUCCCUCCAGUUCAGAGGGAAUCCGCCAUUGCCGAUGGCGCCACCCCGGAAGUUCUCUUCUCCUGCAGUUUCUAGCAGCUUGUAUUCAGAAGUAUAUUGCCUCUGACUAUGGAGGCAGACCACAUCCAUCAGAGUUAGUGGCCACUGAUACUCUUAUCCACCAUAGAAUCCUCCUCUACAUGGGAGAAGAUCCUGGGCCAAACAGGAUUCUUCCCUGUGUGCAGAAGCUGUACAGAUGUAACUCAGUGCACUUUUAAGUCUCCUCAUUUGUGCCAUAUGCAUAGGUAAGGUAAAAAAAAGAUACAGUACCCCUGGACAGUUAGGUCCAGUCAAAGGUGACUAUGGGGUUGCAGCACUCAUUUCUCUUUCAGGCCGAGGGAGCCAGCAUUUGUCCACAGACAGCUUUCUGGGUCAUGUGGCCAGCAUGAAUAAACCGCUUCCGGCACAACAGAACACCAUGGAAACCAGAGCGCACAGAAAUACUGUUUACCUUCCAGCCGCGGUAGUACCUAUUUAUUUAUUUCCACUGGCAUGCUUUCGAACUGCUAGGUUGGCAGGAGCUGGGACAGAGCAACAGGAGCUCACUCCGUCACAGGGAUUCAAGCCGUCAACCUUCUGAUCGACAAGCCCAAGAGGCUCAGUGGUUUAGACCACAGCGCCACCCAUAGCCUGGUGGCAUAGUUGGUGGGUGGCACAUGCAUUUGAGGCUUGUCCAUAGGGGCAAGUGGAGCAGGGUCAUACCAACCUGAGUCUGCUCUCAGCCAAUCUCUAUCUGCCUGCUUUUUCCUACUCACCAACACCUCUGGUUGGGCUCUCUGCCUUCCACCCUACUAGCCUCAAUAGACACCAGCCACCACUGGACAUGUACAGCAUUGGUGAGUGAGAGCUGACACAGGACGCAUUGCCAGAAGUGGCUGUGUGAUGUAACUACCCUAUAUUCUUUCCGGGACAAUCGUAUCAUUAGGCACGCCCUCCAGAGAUAAAAUUGUUUUUAUAUAUGAAAUUGUUUCAGGCAUGUUUUUAUAUGAGAAAUUGUUUGAUAGGGGUUGCAGCCAGUGUAGAACUGUUAUAGUUACUUAGCGGUAGACUUGUUGUGGUGAUGAAAUGUCGCUGCACAAGGGAAAACAUAAGAAUAUAGAUCAUCGUGCCACCGGUUGUGCAACAAUGACCGACUGUUACACAACAAGCACCGGCUGUUGUACAACAAGAAUUACAGUAGGUGCUCUGCAACAAGUUGUUGCAUUGGAUUCUUUUCUUGUGCAACUGUUAAACUUGGCCACCAGAUGGCACUGUGGAGUCCCAUCUUUUCCAAAUGGAUUUCUCUAUAUGAGUUUACAUCGCGUUUAACUGAAAUGCUUCUUUGAUGUGUCUAGAUCCAGCCCAAGUCUGAAACCAAUAACCAAAGCACACCUAAUUAAUAUACACACUAAAACAAAUUCAUCAACUCUUUAAAAUAAACAACCAGUAUUGAUAUGUACAAUAAUUAAAUUAGUUAUAACAGCAGUUAAAAGAUUUAAAACAGGAGGUUCAAGUCAGGUAAUUGUUACAGAUCCUGUCUGGGUAAAAAUGGAUUGUGAACUUUAAACAACAGCCUUGCUGUGUAUGCCAAAGUUGACCAGGCCUGAGACACACAGCUGGGGAAUCUUUGCAAAAGAAGAAUGCAAGAAUACCAAGAUGGACUUAUUUGCUAACUAAAUGUUAUAGCAAGGGUGUUCUCUGCUUAUUGAAGAGUAGCCCUGAAAAUGGGGAACAGGAAAUAGAUUGAAGGAAUCAUCCUAACUAGGCAGGCUUAAUUCAUACACACAGCUUGGUGGUAAAACAGAGAACCAUGACCAUCUUAUUAAUUUUGGAGAGUUAAAUCAUGCACCUUUUGAAAAUGUAUAAUGGCAAAAUCACCCCACAGCUCUUCAAGAACAUAAAAGGAGUCUUUGCUCAUUUGGCUUUCAUAUUUUAUAUCCUUCAUGUGAAACAACUCUCUCCAUUGAUCUUGUAGAGUGGCCUUUAUUUUGGAAGGAGAGUGCCCUAUUACAGAGGCAACCUGCUGGGCUUGAAGGACCAGGCGGGAACUGUGCAAUGCUGUGUCCUUAAAUGUUAAUAGCUGAUAAAAUUUUUGUUAGGAGAUAGUUACAGGCAGCCUGAUUUCCCAGGAGCUGCAUUAGUGCUGAUCUAAAAUGUGGCCUUCCCAUUUCACUACCCCAUUUGAGGAUGGCAGGAGUGAAGUGGGGAGCCAUUUUGGCUAUCUCUCAAGUGAGAAUCCUUCUUUGGCCUGCCCAUAAAAAGUAUAGCAUGAGAGACUAGGGUGAUGUCUGCUGUUUCCAGGAACUCUUCUCAUUGUGAGGCUGCUGUGGGUGAGCUGAGAGUUUAUUUGUACUCUGGGUGAGAACCCAGAAGCUGUGAGGGAGGGUGCAUGAGAAAGAUAAUGGAUUUGUAUUGAUUUAUAUAUAUUAGUAAUUUUGUACUUAUGUAACAUUUUUAUAUGUGGUUGUGUAUUUGUUUAAAUUGUCUGUUGUUGCUUCAGUUUUCUGUAAACUGCUUAGAGAUAUUUUUAAUAUAUUAAGUGGUAUAGAAAUUCAAUAAUCAAACAAUCUAUCUAUCAAUUGACCGUGGAGGCAUAACAUUGCCAUCAUGGCUAGUAGCCAUUGAUAGAGUUCUCCUCUCUGACUUGCCUGGACAGAGAGGGCUGUGUGUGUGUGUAUAGUAGCCUCUGAAUUUUAUGUGGCUUGAAUGUAGCUAAUAACAGGCAGAGUCAGUUAAUACUUGUUUUGCCCACAUUCUCCUCCCUGCUGAGUUCUACAAGGGGUAAAACUAAGACUAAGAAGGAGGAAACUGACAGAUAGUAAGUAAGAAGGAAGGCAGGUGGGGACAAACUGACGACAGACUGAAAUUCAUGGCACAGUGACCCACUGGCCCCAUCCUGGCCCUGGCCCUGACCUUGUCAUAUACCUAAGGUUGAUUUUGGGUCAACUGAAAAGGGGAAUUCAGAUGUGCUAUCACGGCUUAGCACACACGUCCAAGUUUAGCCAAAAGUGUUUGAGGCAUUAAUAAUCAGCUCUUGCAGAGGAAAAGAGAGACGUCUUGUCACAAUCAGGCUGUAAAAAAAAAGAUUAUCACUGCCCUGCGCCUUCAUUUUUAAUAAAUAUUUGCUGUUUGCUUGCCAAAAAGCUGUAGAGUGCUGUUUGACUUCCUCAGCUUCCCUUUUCACAUACAAUCCAUCAAAACCCCAACUGCUAAACUCCACCGGAAUGUCUAUUCUGUUUAUUUAUUCCAUUCACUCUGCUUGGCUCACUGGGGGCAAAUAACCUGUCUUAAGCUGUGGCAGAUGCUAUUUUAUAUAUUUUUGAGACAAGUGAAUGUGAAGCGGAUCUGGAUUAGAGGUGGCAUUUCCUCUUAGGGUCUGUAAGAUCCAGACAGCUGCUCUGGCUGUUCCCAUAUGGGAAGCAUGCCCUCAAAACCUGAUGCGGCAUUCAUACAUAUUCCUGAUCCUCCCCUGCUGGCUACCUGUGUCCAUCUGUUACAAUGCUUCAGUGCCAACUUGUAACUUAAUCAGCCCUGUCCUUAAUGCUCAGUUUCCAGGCAAAGCACUAGGUUAGGCAAACAACACCCUGCAUGACAAUAACCCAGUCAAUGGCUCACUACAUAAGUUUACCUGCAUUGUGGAUUCUGUUCCCUUGAUUGAAGCAUUAGGGACACACAUACUCUCUCUUUUGCUUAUGUUAGUGUAGUGAAUCCUCUUUUAUCCCAAGGGUCACAUUUCCUUCUUCAAUACCUUCCGAGUGUCACAUGUCCAUGGUGGGUGGGAAUAGAGGAGAAAGUGGGUGGAGCAAUACAUGGAGAUACUUGCCUUUGAACAGUAGGCUAGUCUCACUCACACAAAUUUCUGAAGGGUUGUCACAUGGAAGAUGGAGCAAGCUUGUUUUCUCGUGCUCUGGAGGGUAGGAGAUGAACCAAUAGCUUCAAGUUACAAGUAAGGAGAUUCUGACUUAACACCAGGAGGAACUUUUUGACAGUAAGAGCUGUUCCAAAGUGGGACAGAUUUCCAUGGGAGGCGGUGCACUCUCAUUUCUUGGAGGUAUUUAAGCAGAGGUUGGAUGAUCAUCUCUCAUGGAUGCUUUAAUUGAGAUUCUUGCGCUGCAGGGGAUUGGAUUAGAUGACCCUUGGGGGAGGGUACCUUCGAACUCUCUCAUCUCCAUCCAGACAAGCAAGGGGCAUUAUCAGAGUUCAAGGACACAUUCCAGCUAGGCAGAAACCCUCAAGGAGGGUGCAAGGAAGGGCCAGGGAGGGUUAUGAUUGGGGAAUGGGUGUGGGAGAAUGGAUUCUUGGGAGAAUCCCAAGAGCCAGAUAAAGAACAUUAGAAAAGCCCCAUAGGAUCAGGUCUGUGGUCCAUCUAGUCCAGCAUUAUGUUUUCACAGGGGCCAACCAGAUGCCCCUGGGGUGCCCACAAGCAGCACAACAGCACUUAGCCUUAAAGUGAUUCUUAGUAACUGGUAUUCGGUAGCAUACUGCCUCCAGCAGUGGAGGCAGAACAUAGUCAUCAGGUUUAGUUGCCACUGAAAAGCUUAGAGGACCACUGGCCUAAUUAGAAGCCAAGGUUCCUUAUUCAGCAAGGUAUAUGAUGAUGGAGAAACUUUGCUGAAGGCUGGCAGACCUGGGUCUAGUCUAGAGACGAACUGGAAUUUCUCAGUAGAUGUUUUACUCUGAGAUAAUUCUGAGAUCUUUCUUUCCACAAGCACCCCCUGCUCCCAAGAAGGCCCUUUUGCAGAAUUUUCUCUGAAUAUUCACUACCAUUUUUGCACAGGAGCCACUAUUCUCACCUACCUCCAUGCCCCAUAAGCAUGGAGAAGAAUCUGCCAUUACAUGAUAAGUAUGAAAAGGGAGUAUUAUCAGGAGAAUCAGCAGCUGACCCUCGGUGCCUGAAUUUCAGAAGAUGGCAGUUUGGAACAAAAACAUUUCACAGAUUAUGAUAACGCAGGUGAUUUAGCAGUACCAUUUAUAUUCCACAAUACAAUUCUCAGGACAUUGGGGUAUUAGCUCUUAUUUGCUUUUUAAACAUUCUAAAUGUACCUAGAAGGACAAAUGAAGAGAAAAAGAGAAAUAUCUGAAUAUUUUAACCAUCCUACUGUAGACCUGAAAUUCGUAUGUUCUGUGAAUGUGUGUCUUUUAGAUAUAGGGAGUUAAGUGAUUGUUUACUUUGAAGUAAGUCCUGUGUGGGGCUUAAUCUCUGGUAAGUGCAUUUAGAACUGCUGCCUGAAAUACUCCUCCAAAUCAAAACACUCCCCUUUUAAAAAUGUCAGAGCAGAAUAAUGUAAGACAAGCACAGUGCUAUGUAGAUCCUUUUGACAUUUAACAGCAGCACUUCCAGCGACACCCGAUACAAUCAUGAAGCCACUAAAAAGACAGAUGGAUCGGAGCAAUAAAAUGAAUGGCUGGCUGGCUAGGCAGAGAGAAAAAAAUGUUGCCCUGCAUUUUAUCUCAUCACGGUACUUUUUGCACAAGGAGCUCAAGUCCUCGGAUGGAGGAGGCAGGAUGAAGUAUAGUGGUUGCUUUUCUUCCAGCUUAAAUGUCAGAACUUUUGGAUCUGUUUUCAAAAGCAGCCAUGUCUUUUAUUUUAUUGACAUUUUUGCAAUUAUUUCCCUUCUCUUGUUCAUCAGCUCCUUUAAGUCUGUGCCGGUAGGGAGCCAGGAACAACAACAGCUCAACAAAUCAUAUGAAGAUGAAUAGAGGAGCAGAAGGACCUUUAAAAAAAGAGAAUCCUGAGGGUGAGACACAGACACAUGGAGGGCUAAUUCUCUUCUAUUACUGUAUCAAAACCAUAUUCAUUCCAUAAUUCUUUUCCUCCAUUCACAUUUGUUUUACUUAUUUUUUCUCUCUCCCUCUUGCAGGUUCUUUUAACUUUUGUUUCUGUCAUAGCUUAUGAUGGUAGGAACAGUGGAAAUCUUAUCAGUGGCUACCUUGUGGUGACCACUCUUCUAUUUUCUCUGAAUGCCCUUGGUGUGACAUCAAUUCAAAACAUUUUUAAAGGAAAAAGCAAAAAGCUGCUACUGAACAAUGUAAACCCCAUCAGUCCCUAUUUAAGGGCAUGCCUUAAAUAACAAAAAAGAAAAAAGAAAGCAAUCCAUAUACGUGGGUCCCAUUUGGUUUCAUUUUUCUCCCAUUUUUAAUUACAGCAAUAUACAGUGCUAUUAUUCUAGAAAAAGAGGUGCCAGAACUCACCAUGAAUGCCUCCCACCUGAGAGGAGCUGGAACUGAGUUCCAGUGCAUUCCGGCUGGAAAAAAGCCCUGGCAGUAUAUAAUUGAUCACAAUCUCAUUUAUUCCCAGGUGGUUUUUUUAAUCCGUAUUGAACUACUGAAACCAUAUUUUUGAAGUUUCUUCAAAUGCCUAAUGUCCCUUUAAUGUUAUUGUCAAUUUAACAAUAUCUAGCUGUUCUCAUAGUUUCCUUGCUAAUGCCAAAUAUAUUGAUAGUUGGCGUGUGGGUUAUCUUCCAUACUUUAGCAAAGACAAUUCUAUCUAGAGUAAGGAUCUAUAACACUUGUGUGCUUGGGCUUUUGAGAGCACUAUAUUAUUUUUGACAUAAUUUAAAAGGCACAGGAAUAGAUCAUUAUUUAUAUCUAUAUGAAAUAUUUCAUGCCCAGUAUUUUCUAGUCUCCCAACCAUUCUACCAAAUGGGGAAAAAAUCUUACAGAACCAAGAUUUAGGGUGCAAUCCAACCCUCCAAACUCUAUCAGUAGAGCUGUGCAGAAUGUUGGAGCCACUGCAGCAUCAACAGCCCAGCUGCUAAUGAUAGUCAUAGUGGAGGUGGGUAUGGAGGCAAUAAGGGCUGAAUUGAACCCAAUGUCAUCGUAUGCUGUUAGUGGCACCACUCAGCAUCUCAGGGAUCCCAGGAUGGUUCAGACUCCACCCCAACCUCAGAAUGCCCCAUUUUGGGGCUUUUUAUUGGCUACCACUGGCGGGAAACACAGCAGUGUGCUGCCCACACAUUGGGCAGCUGGCAGAUCUGAGUAGAAGGACACCUCCACACAAUCCAACUUGUCCCCCAGAUCCCUCCACUGACCUGUGUUGUUGUUGUUGUUUACUUUACUCUUCCAUAGGGUCAAUCUACAUUAUGUUGCCAUUUUAACACAGUAUUGCUUGUAGCUGAGGAAGUGGAUCCUGUUUUAAAUAGCAAUAACAAAAUCCUAGUACUUCAGUUUAGUAAAGCUGACAUAUUUUGGAAAACCACUGUUGACCCCCCCUCCUUUUCCAACAACUCCCUGAAAUCAUUUUCUUCUGACUUAAUUAUUGUCCUUACUUGAUCCUGACUUAGUAGAAGCUUCAUGUGAUGAUUUACAACAACUGUAGCAAAUGCUGUGAUCUGGCAAAUCCCCAAACAUACCUCAUAUAAGCUGCUGCUUAUAAACCAUGUGAUAAUGUGCUGCCUUUUCAUACCACUAGUCCUUCUUUAAUAGCCUGUGUUAACAGCAACAAUAAACCUUUUCUCACACAUUAGGGAAGUGGGAAGUGAAUCAAGUUUUAUUUUUGCAAAGUGUAGAGCACAUUGGUAGUCUGUGACAUCCUCAGAAAGCAAGGAAAGUCUCUUAAUACCAAAGGUGCAUUAAAAUCAUUGACGUUGAGAUUUCUGACUCAUUGGAAAUAACAUAAUGUACAGUGGUACCUCGGUUUUUGAACAGCUUAGUUCACAAACAACUUGGAACCCGAACGCUGCAAAACCAGAAGUAGGUGUUCCUGUUUUUGAACUUUCAUUUGGAAGCGAAAUUUGCUCUGUUUUGAGUCCCCCUGUGUUUCCUGUUGCGCUGCUAAUUUACACACACCCCAUUGUAAUUCAAGCCUUCUGUUUCUAAUUGCAGUGUUCUGAGGUGAUAUUUGGAGCUUAUAUUUGGUGCUUUUGUUUUUGCUAUUUAUUUUGCCUUUUUGUUUUGAGGCUUUUUCAGUUAAUUUGUUUUUGUGACUGUGUGGAUCCCAGUUCAGCUAUUGAUUGAUUGAUUAUGUGACUGUGGAAAUGGAUAAAAGCCCCCCAUCCAAACAAUGACUAUCAGUGCAGGUAAGAAUUUUUUUAAAUUUUUAUUUUUAUCAUCUACAAUACUGUUUUAUUUAUUUCAUAGUACAGUACAUUAUUUAUUGCUUUCAUUUUAUGGAUCAAUGGUCUCAUUAGACAGUAAAAUUCAUGUUAAAUUGCUGUUUUGGGGGUUGUUUUAAAAGUCUGGAAUGGAUUAAUCCAUUUUGCAUUACUUUCCAUGAGAAAGUGAGCCUUGGUUUUGGAACAGACUUCUGGAACAGAUUAAGUUUGAUAACCAAGGUACCACUGUAUAAUUAUGCUUGCAUGAAGUAACAUGCAUAAGCACAUUGGCAACAACAAUACAACAUGGGCUGUAAGUUGUUGUACAAUGUGCUACUUUGUUUUAUAAGGAUCACCCCAGUGCAGUACCUAUGGUGAAGUUGAAGCAUGAUGCUGUCUUGAAGUCUUCCUGCCAUAACCUGGCACUGUGGAAUGGUGCAAAUUACUGAUCUGCCAAAUGCUUGUGUUCUGAAUUUUCCUUGUGUUCUGAAUUUUGAGUAUAUGACAAUAUUGCUUUGUAGCUUUUAGCUAGCCUGUACUAUAUAAUUAAAACAGUAUCGGGCCACUUUAAACAAUCACAGAUUCCCUCAAAGAAAUGUAGGAACUGUAGUUUGUUAAGGCUGCUAAGAGCUCUUAGGAAACCCCUAUUCAUCUCACAGAGCUACAUUUCCAAGAGUUCUCUAGGAAGAGGGAUUGACUGUUAAACCACACCCAACUGGACUCCUUCAAAUCCUCCUUGAGUGCUUUUGCCUACUUGGAGUGUAAUAAUGAAUCUGGUUUGCCUGGAUGGAGGUGUGUGACUGUGUUUAGCCUACUAUACACAAGUAAAAUUUACAGUCAUUGCUCUGCUCACUGUUGCCUCUGGCUCCACCCAUUACUGUCACGUAGCUCCUGGAAAGGUACCCAGAAGGAAAUGAGGCCCUUUAGCUGAAAAAGAUUCCCCACCGCUGAUGUAAUGUGAGGCAGGUAGAUGAAGGCAAGAGGAACUGGAGUCCCAAACAAGACUUUUUAAAACUGCAACAACAAGAGGGACAAGUGCUGCACCUAGCAGCCUAUGUGGACUCCGCUUACCACAACCAGAUGUCUUGGGCUGCCACUGUCGGCACAUGAUUUCCCUAUUUUAAAAAAAGUUUGAAAAAGAGAGAGAAGUGUAAUAAAAUGUCCAAGACAAAGUUGAUUUCACGUUCAAUAUCAAAUUUCAUUGGAGACUCUCUGUGUAGUUAUGAACUUGAACACUAAAACCACAGAUGAAGACAUUUGUGACCCAGCCAUCUUCCUAUUGUCCUUUAUUGCUGAGAUGGGCAUUUUGGGAGAAAAUCAGUGCUGAUACUAAAGAUAGGGAUCAAUAGCUUAUUGUGCUUAGUUUGAGUCUCUUGCUUACAUGUCAGUCCUCCCAUUUGCAAGACAAACAGAUCUGAUAUGAUGAGCUAUCAGAUUUGCCCAGUUGAAGAUCAAGUAUUUUCAUUUGAUUGUUGAUAAUCCCCACUCCACCACACAUAUUUGUUCCCAGUAAUCUCAUAUUCAGAACUGAGGUAUAUAUAUUCCUCCCAUAUAUGGCGAGAUGAAGGCUCAGUAGGUGCCUUGUUGUUAGCUACUUCUCUCUGAUACUUUUAAUUUUUUAAACUCAUCAAAGCUUGCAGACAUCACCAUUUCAGACAGCAAAUUCCGUAAGUUGGUUAUGCUUUGAAGGUGAUUUUUAAAAAACUUUCCUGAUUCUACUGCCUCUUGACUUGCAGUUAUAUAAGUGGUGCUUGUGCCAAGAAGGUGUGAUUAGUGUUGCGGCCUCAAAUGAAUACUCCAAGUUCUAGGAGUAUGGGGGGGGGGGGAGGGGAGGAAAUGUCCUUUCUGUUGUCAUAAAUUUUUAUAAACCUCUGAUAUGAGUUUGGCCUAAGAAGGUCUCUCCAGGUUAGAAGCCAGGGGCUCAGUUCUGCAUAUGCUUUGUGAUAAGUCUCUUGCGCUUCUCUGAACUCCUGCCAGCUCUCAUUUCAAACCAAACUGCACAUGCCCUACAAUAAAAGGGAUCUGGCAAACAGUUGAUGAUAUGGAUUAGGUCUCUUUAAUCCACUUGACAUCAGCCAAUUGCAAUGGCAGUUUCUUCACUGCCCUCUUUUGUUGAAUAGCUUAUUACAGGCCAUCCAUCUCACACAUUCUCAGAGCACAGUAGAGGGCAAUAAGGGAUAAGAUCUACUAAGCUUUUUGUGAGACUCAUGCAACAUAGUUUCAGCUUAUAAGCAACAGUUACAGAGUAACAAAGAAUAACUUGCUUGUUUUAUUUUCCAGAGGUGCAAAAUAAAAUACAGUGGUACCUCGGUUUACGAACUUAAUCCGUUCUAGAAGUCCGUUCUUAAACCGAAACCUUCUUAAACCAAGGCCCUCUUUCCCUAAUGAGGCCUCCUGCCUCCAGUACUCUUCCACCAUUCGGCUCCCGUUCUGAGGUAAAGUGUCCAAACCAGGACACUACUUCUGGUUUUGCAGAGUUCGUAAACCGAAUCGUUCGUAAACAGGGCUGUUCUUAAACGAGGUACCACUGUAAAGUGGGGUCUGUGUGUGUUUCAUUUUAAGGGGGGGGGUAAGUCCUGCUAGAUCAGCCCACAGUUCCAUCUAAUUCAACAUUGUUUCCCCACAUGUGGUAACUACAUUCUUCUGGCAACAGCAGCAGGAUAUGAAAUCAGCAUCCUUCACUGUUUCUUCUCUGCAACUGACAUCCACUGAUACUGAACACUUAGGUUCCAUUUAGACCUCAUGGCUAAUAGCCAUUGAAGGAACUAGCCUCUGGGAAUUGGUCCAAUCCCCUGUGGAUGCAUACUAAACCCAUGCCCAUUGCGACACCUUUUGGCAGAGAGUUCCAUAAAUCAAGUAUGUUUUGUGCAAUGAAGUCCCUUAUCCUGAAUCUUCUUCCAAUGGAUUUUAGUGGGUGACUGUUGUUCUUGAGACUGAAAGAACUCCUCUCUAGCCACAUUCUCCAGACAUGAAUAUAUAUUUUUAAACCUCUCUAGUCUGUUCCAUCGGUCUCAGGAAAUGAGAGGCCUUUGGAUUCUGGGCAUCCUUUUCCAGGACAGCACUUACAUACAGCUUGUUAAUGGUCAUUAGAGUUAGGACAUCCAUCACAGAGCUAUAAUUCCCAGCACUCUUAAUAAACUACAGUUCCCAGGAUUCUUGGGGGGGGCACCAUGACUGAUCAUGUGGUAUAAGACAUCUUUAAAUGCAUUUGUGUGGAUGUGACUGAAAAAGUCCCCCAAAGUGACCUUAAAAGUCCCUUUUGUUUCAUACUAUUCUUUGUACCUUUCAUGUCUUGGAGUUUUUUUUUUCUCCCCCCCCCUUUUGCUCAUACAAGGAGAAUGAGUCCUUUAGAAAAGGACAAAAUCAAGGCUAUUUUUUGAGAUGGCAUCCUAUUAUUAUUGUUUCUCUACAAUCAAAGAUGAGGGGGUAGGGGAAAACAAAGGGAAAAUGAAACUAAAGAGAGAUUACAUAGAAUGUUCAAAGGUAUUUUUAUACAAAUCCCCCUCCUUGCAUCUUUGGGGGGGGGAAUUCUCACUGAAGAGGCCAAAUAUUUUACCUUUGCUUUAUGGCCUGAACUCAGUGCAUAAAUUUAAAGUGUGAAAGCUGAUUGAUCAUAGAAUGUGGGGAUAUUUUGUUUUGUUUGGGUUUUUCUUUUCUACCCGAGUCCGAUUUAUUGCCCUUUCAUAUAGCGUUUUUGGGCUAUACAUUAUUGCUAACAACUUUGCUUGCUCGGAUUACUAUUAAUAAAUGAUACUGUCUGAAGGUUGAAAGCUCUUCAAUGCCAGAAAAUAAAGCAAAAAGAGAGAGUGGAUCCUGCUGCUUUCUGCUUUCCAAUAAAUUCAGGAAACCAAAUGGCUCUUUUUGGCUUGAGUUUAUAUUGCCUGUGAUUAACAUCUUCGCGGGGCAUUCAGACAUUAAGAAGUGGUGCUUUUUUUAGUUGUUACUUUUGUUAUUUUAGAAACCCAUUUAUAAAAAUUGCCUCUGGAAGUGUCAACAGCAAAAAUAUGUGGCUUAGAAUUCCAUUUAUUUGGGGGGGGGGGGAAUAAGCCAAGUAGUCAUUGAAGGAACUGUGCAUGGGGCUUCUGUUUGGAAGGGUGAUGGAGGCAAUCGCUUGACGUAUGGAAUGUCAUGAUAAUAAAAAUAACUGAAGGACACUUCAAGUAAUAGAUAGGGUGGGGAUGGGGUGAAUUCCACCUACCAUACAAGCUUAAUUAAGAGUAGACCCAUUGAAAUGAAUGAGCAAGCCUAAAUUAAGUAAAUUAAUUUCAAUGGGUCUACUGUGGGUGGUGCUGUGGUCUAAACCACAGAGCCUAGGGCUUGCCAAUCAAAAGGUCGGCGGUUUGAAUCCCCGCGAUGGGGUGAGCUCCCGUUGUUCGGUCCCAGCUCCUGUCCACCUAGCAGUUUGAAAGCACGUCAAGAGCAAGUAGAUAAAUAGGUACCGCUCCGGCGGGAAGGUAAACGGCAUUUCCGUGCGCUGCUCUGGUUCACCAGAAGUGGCUUAGUCAUGCUGGCCACAUGACCUGGAAGCUGUCUAUGGACAAACACCGGCUCCCUCAGCCUAUGGAGUGAGAUGAGCGCCGCAACCCCAGAUUUGUCUGCGACUGGACCUAAUGGUCAGGGGUACCUAUACCUUUACUGUGAGGGAAACUCAGCUGAAUACCACUCUUUGCCAGUUGACAACUGGAAGAGGGUGGAAAGUAGAUGAGAUUAACUGGGUGGGAAUGUCUUGAGAUUGCUAGAGUCCUCUUCAUAAAUUGAGUGGACAGGCGGAGUCCCCCCAACUCCAGGCGACCCCUGAGCAGAAUAAUGACUCAAGAUAAUGUGCUAUGGGAUUAAAAUUGGCCACAACUUUAUUAAAUUUCAGGUGUAGGGAGACCUUGGCUCAGGCAUUGGGCAUUUAUCCUUCCCAGUCCCCAGCCGGGAAUCUGGGAGACAUCAGGGUUAUCCAGAAUGUGUGGGGAUUGAGCUAGCUCUGGAGAACAUAUGUUCAAGCAGAGAGCCCGCCCCCUGUUUUGCCACCGUUGGAGGGGAGAGCAAUGACUACCUCUCGGCAUAUGGCCAAUGCCUCCUCUCAAGACCCCUUUAACAGGGAACCCUGAGAUCACCGCUGCAAGGGGGGCAUGGGUCACCGCUUCACACCCCCCCCCAUAUAGGAAGAUGCCCAAAGCCUGAAACUGCCAAAGUUGUUUCAUUUUGCUAAGGGAAAGGCAAAACCUGCCAAUGCAGGAAAAUUCCUUUCUGGCCCUUCAACAGUGACCCUGAUGUAGCAGCGCCUGCGUACCUGUGGAAAAGAAGUUAACCUGCAAAAGAAGACUUAACUGAGGGAGGGCAGAGUGGGAGAAGCUCUGGAGCCAACUGAUGCUUCACAGGUAAGAUUCACCUUCUGUUGUGCG